rnacentral:rRNA from 2 species
UCUGGUGACAAUGGCAAGGAGGUCACACCUGUUCCCAUGCCGAACACAGAAGUUAAGCUCCUUAGCGCCGAUGGU